AUGCCUGGCAGCCUGAAUCCCAGCCUCCUGUCUCUGCAGAACAAGAACUACAAGGCAGUUUGCCUGGAAUUGAAGCCAGAGCUGAUCAGAACGUAUGACUACAAAGGAGCUAAACAAGAAGGGCCAUUUACCAAACCAGGAGGGACAAAGGAGCUAAAGAAUGAACUCAGGGAGGUGAGGGAAGAGCUCAAGGAAAAAAUGGAGGAGAUAAAACAGAUAAAAGAUGUAAUAGAUAAGGAUUUUGAAAAACUCCAGGAAUUUAUGGAGAUUAUGAAGGAAAUGCAAAAGGAUAUGGAUGAGAAGAUGGAUGUUUUAAUAAAUAUACAGAAGAACAGCAAGCUUCCUCUCAGGAGAGGACCAAAGGAGCAGCAAGAACUCAGGCUGAUAGGAAAGACGGACACAGACCCACAGAUCCAGCUGAAGAAAAUGGAUGGAGCUGAUGGAGCACCACUGGCCCUUCAUAAAAAGAUGAUGGCACUACAACAACCAAAAAAGAAUCCAGUGGAUUCCCUUCACCAGUGUGAUACCUGCUGUGAGAAAUGUUUGUGGUGUGCCCCAAAGAACAACUACAGUCAGCGGAAGAGAAAGGUGGCCCAGGAAGGACCCUUAAGAACAGAGACAAAGUCAGAGCCUGGCCACUCAGAGUGCAGCCGUGGACAAGCAUCCCUGUAUCCCUCGGAGGCUUUUUAGAUGUGAGACAUUUCAUGUCCUGCGGGCCUGCUAAAUCAGACUCUGCCUUUCAACAAGAUCGCCAGUGCUCAUCAGCAUUUGUGGAUUCAGUGCUAGUGGCCUCAGAACUAAAGCCAAUACCUACUCUAACUCUAAGACCAGGAUAGAGAAACUGAAAUCUGGGGACACUUUGGUCAGAUAAAAGAAUAUGUCAACUUUGCACGUCCAAAGUGAGGUCUCCAAAUACCAUUUCCCACCGAAAGGCAUCAGAGCUUUGGGAGAAAUGGCUGAUUCUAGGUCUAAGCAGAAAAUGUACAAGUCUUCUCAAGUCAUGUUUAAAAGAUUCAGGAACCAACUGGAAGAGACUCCCGCUGAUCAAAAUGGGGCCACUUGAGCAUCAGUAAGAAUAUUAUCUGCAAUGAAUUGAAACACAUCAAAUGUGUUAAAAAUCCAUGAAUUCAUAGUAAUACUAAAAACUAAACUAAACUCUGAUUGGUCACUGUUGGAGGAUGGUAAGAAAGCAAUUCAUUGAUUUGAAAAUGGUAAAUAAAGGGAGGAAAUCAAGCAAUUAUCCUGGGUGUCAAACAGUAGAUAAACAGUAAUAUCUGAUUCUAUUAUUCCUCCUUUAUUUAUAAGUAGGAAUACUUCUAUGAAGGAGAAAAUGAUAGAAUCAGAUAUGACUAUUUUGAAAGAGUGAUAUUUCAAAAGAUUCAGGCAUUGACCACCUGCAGCAUCUAAUAUCACGGAAGGAGACAAACAGACAUCAUGUGCCUCCUGUUGGAAGAAUAUCCCACCACUGAAACCAAACCUGAAUAUGAUUAAGCUCUAGAUCCAAGUACCAAUUUACAGGAAAAAUAGGGACAGAGAUCCUGUAAAAUUACACUAUAGGAAGGUUAUCAGCAAAAUCUAGAUUGUGGACAAAUCUACAGAAUAAACAACCCAGUGUCUUCAACAAACAAAUUGAGAGAGAAAAAAACAAAAGAAAAAACAGGAGUAACCUAUAGAUUAAAACAAAAGUUAUAGCAGCCAAUUUCAACAGGUGAACCUUAUUUAAACCCUGAUUCAAACUGUUUUUCUAAAAAUCCAUUUAUGAUAAUUUUGAGACAAUUGGGGAAUUCGAACACCAGGAAUUACUGGUUACGAUACAAAAAGAGUUCUUUCUGAGUGAUUUACUAAGACUUUUACAGAUGAAGUAGUAUGAUAUCUGGGAUUUGCUUCAGAAUAAUAGAAGAUGGGCUGAAUUGUUGAGAGUGGGGGGAUGGGGCCAGUUUGGACGUUGCUGGGGUUUGACGGGUGUGUGAUAGCUCAUCAUAGCAUUCUGUCUACUUGGUGUAUGUUCAAAAGUCUCGAAAAUUAAAA